AUUGAACGCUGGCGGCAGGCUUAACACAUGCAAGUCGAGCGGGGUGAUGGUGCUUGCACUAUCACUUAGCGGCGGACGGGUGAGUAAUGCUUAGGAAUCUGCCUAUUAGUGGGGGACAACAUCUCGAAAGGGAUGCUAAUACCGCAUACGUCCUACGGGAGAAAGCAGGGGAUCACUUGUGACCUUGCGCUAAUAGAUGAGCAUAAGUCGGAUUAGCUAGUUGGUGGGGUAAAGGCCUACCAAGGCGACGAUAUGUAGCGGGUCGGAGAGGAUGAUCCGCCACACUGGGACUGAGACACGGCCCAGACUCCUACGGGAGGCAGCAGUGGGGAAUAUUGGACAAUGGGGGGAACCCUGAUCCAGCCAUGCCGCGUGUGUGAAGAAGGCCUUAUGGUUGUAAAGCACUUUAAGCGAGGAGGAGGCUCUUUUGGUUAAUACCCAAGAUGAGUGGACGUUACUCGCAGAAUAAGCACCGGCUAACUCUGUGCCAGCCGCCGCGGUAA
rnacentral:rRNA from 1 species